CAGUCGACGCUUCUUUUUCACCGGAGCUUGCUCCACCGGAAAAAGAGGAGUGGCGAACGGGUGAGUAACACGUGGGUAACCUGCCCAUCAGAAGGGGAUAACACUUGGAAACAGGUGCUAAUACCGUAUAACAAUCGAAACCGCAUGGUUUUGAUUUGAAAGGCGCUUUCGGGUGUCGCUGAUGGAUGGACCCGCGGUGCAUUAGCUAGUUGGUGAGGUAACGGCUCACCAAGGCGACGAUGCAUAGCCGACCUGAGAGGGUGAUCGGCCACAUUGGGACUGAGACACGGCCCAAACUCCUACGGGAGGCAGCAGUAGGGAAUCUUCGGCAAUGGACGAAAGUCUGACCGAGCAACGCCGCGUGAGUGAAGAAGGUUUUCGGAUCGUAAAACUCUGUUGUUAGAGAAGAACAAGGAUGAGAGUAACUGUUCAUCCCUUGACGGUAUCUAACCAGAAAGCCACGGCUAACUACGUGCCAGCAGCCGCGGUAAUACGUAGGUGGCAAGCGUUGUCCGGAUUUAUUGGGCGUAAAGCGAGCGCAGGCGGUUUCUUAAGUCUGAUGUGAAAGCCCCCGGCUCAACCGGGGAGGGUCAUUGGAAACUGGGAGACUUGAGUGCAGAAGAGGAGAGUGGAAUUCCAUGUGUAGCGGUGAAAUGCGUAGAUAUAUGGAGGAACACCAGUGGCGAAGGCGGCUCUCUGGUCUGUACUGACGCUGAGGCUCGAAAGCGUGGGGAGCAACAGGAU
rnacentral:rRNA from 1 species